CUUUAUUUACCAAGUCUGACUAAUAACUAUAACAAAGCUGCAGAAAUCCUAAAUAUUAUUUCAGAAUCACAUUUCCCGUAGAAGGUGUAACUUGGAAGUAUAUUCCCCUUCUUUGUCUCCUACUGCAUCCUUUGCAUCCUUAUAAAACCAAAUUCACGUUUCACCUUACCUCUUCUGUGUAGCUUUAUCAGCACCUCCUGUUAGUUAUUCAUGGCCUCUUCUCUUUGGACAGUCUAUUCCAGUACUUGUGACACCGUACUGUAAUUAUCUGUGAUCUUUCUUCCUCCCCCUAUGUUAUUCUGUAAGACCUAACUCUUAAUCAUCUUCCUCUCCUCAGUCCCUAGUAUACAGCCUGACAUAAAAUAGGCUCUCAAUAACAUUUUUAGGUGAAUUAAUGUUGAAUGAAUAUAUAAAUGAAUGAUUAUUUCAGUCAAAGGAAUAUGUGAGAGUAUAUAGCAGGCCUGGUAAUAGUCCCUUAACAUCUCUUUCUCCUUUUCAUAUGGGAAAAGAAAUCUCAGUUUUUAGCUGGGCACGUGGCUUCCUGGAAUUAAGACUUUGUUUCUCAGCCUCACCUGCAGCUAGGCAUGAUUAUUUUCUAGAAUGGGUCAAUGGGAUGUAGGUGGAAGUGGUAUGGUAAUUUAGG
rnacentral:lncRNA from 10 species